rnacentral:rRNA from 1 species
AACGUAGGACGCAAGCGUUAUCCGGAGUUACUGGGCGUGAAGCGCGGGCAGGCGGUCUUGCCAGUCUGAUGUGAAAUCUCCCCGCUCAACGGGGAGCAGCCAUUGGAAACUACAAGACUGGAGUCUGACAGAGGUAGGCGGAAUUCCGGGUGGAGUGGUGAAAUGCGUAGAGAUCCGGAGGAACACCAGAGGCGAAGGCGGCCUACUGGGUCAGUACUGACGCUGAGCCGCGAAAGCCAGGGGAGCGAACGGG